CCCUCGGUGGCUCAGAUGGUUAGAGCGUCUGCCGUUUAAGCAGAAGAUCGCGGGUUCGAGUCCCGGUCGGGGCA
rnacentral:tRNA from 1 species